rnacentral:rRNA from 1 species
ACGGCUCAGUAACACGUAGUCAACCUAACCUAUGGACGGGAAUAACCUCGGGAAACUGAGAAUAAUGCCCGAUAGAACACUAUACCUGGAAUGGUUUGUGUUCCAAAUGAUUUAUCGCCAUAGGAUGGGACUGCGGCCUAUCAGUUUGUUGGUGAGGUAAUGGCCCACCAAGACUAUUACAGGUACGGGCUCUGAGAGGAGUAGCCCGGAGAUGGGUACUGAGACACGGACCCAGGCCCUAUGGGGCGCAGCAGGCGAGAAAACUUUGCAAUGUGCGAAAGCACGACAAGGUUAAUCCGAGUGAUUUGUGCUAAACGAAUCUUUUGUUAGUCCUAGAAACACUAACGAAUAAGGGGUGGGCAAGUUCUGGUGUCAGCCGCCGCGGUAAAACCAGCACCUCAAGUGGUCAGGAUGACUAUUGGGCCUAAAGCAUCCGUAGCCGGCUCUGUAAGUUUUCGGUUAAAUCUGUACGCCUAACGUACAGGCUGCCGGGAAUACUGCAGAGCUAGGGAGUGGGAGAGGUAGACGGUACUCGGUAGGAAGUGGUAAAAUGCUUUGAUCUAUCGAUGACCACCUGUGGCGAAGGCGGUCUACCAGAACACGUCCGACGGUGAGGGAUGAAAGCUGGGGGAGCAAACCGGAUUAGAUACCCGGGUAGUCCCAGCUGUAAACUAUGCAAACUCAGUGAUGCAUUGGCUUGUGGCCAAUGCAGUGCUGCAGGGAAGCCGUUAAGUUUGCCGCCUGGGAAGUACGUACGCAAGUAUGAAACUUAAAGGAAUUGGCGGGGGAGCAC